GGAUAGUUCAGUUGGCAGAGCAUGAGACUCCUAAUCUAAGGGCUGUGGAUUCAAGCCCCACGUUGAGUG